UGUUGCUUGCAAGGGCGUAUGGUGGAUGCCUUGGCAGACAGGACCGAUGAAGGACGUUUGAGGCUGCGAUAUGCCUCGGGGAGCCGCCAACAGGGCUUUGAUCCGAGGAUUUCCGAAUGGGGGAACCCACCGACCGUCAUGGGUCGGUACCGGCUUCGGCCGGGGGGUACGCAGGGAAGUGAAACAUCUCAGUACCUGCAGGAAAGGAUAUUCCGUGAGUAGUGGCGAGCGAAAGCGGAUGAUGGCCAAACCUUGCGCGUGUGAUACCCGUCGGGGGUUGCGCGCGGGGUGUUGCGGGAUCGCGUGCGCCGGCUCCGACGGGCCGGCCGGCAGUUGCAGAAAACCAUGUGUCAGGGGAACCGGGUUGAAUACCGGGCCGCAGAGGGUGAGGGCCCCGUACCUGAACGCGCAUGGUCUGCCGAUCGCGUCUCCCAAGUAGCACGGGUCCCGUGGAACCCCGUGCGAAUCCGCCCAGACCGUUGGGUAAGCCUGAAUAUUCCUGUCUGACCGAUAGCGAACGAGUACCGUGAGGGAAAGGUGAAAAGUACCCCGGGAGGGGAGUGAAACAGUCUCUGAAACCGUGCGCCUACAAUCCGUCGGAGCCCUUUUGUGGGGUGACGGCGAGCCUAUCGAAAAAUGAGUCGGCGAGUCAGUGGCAUGUGGCGAGCAUAAC
rnacentral:rRNA from 1 species